UGCCGGCGACCGGCGGACGGGUGCGUAACGCGUAUGUAACCUACCUUUGACAGGGGGAUAACAUCGAGAAAUUGGUACUAAUACCCCAUAACAUCACCGGAGGCAUCUUCGGUGGUCGAAAACUCAGGUGGUCAGAGAUGGACAUGCGUUGUAUUAGCUAGUUGGUGAGGUAACGGCUCACCAAGGCGACGAUACAUAGGGGGACUGAGAGGUCAACCCCCCACAUUGGUACUGAGACACGGACCAAACUCCUACGGAAGGCAGCAG
rnacentral:rRNA from 1 species